GUCGGUAUCGAUUAGGGGUUAAAUCACUUCGUUGUGGCUAGUAACUCCGAAGAGCCGCAGGUUCGAUUCCUGCUACCGACA